rnacentral:tRNA from 1 species
GCCUUUGUGGUGUAGUGAUUAACACGCUCGGCGUGUAUUCCAGAGGUCCGUGGUUCGAGUCCCGGCUAGGGCA